UACGGGGGGGGUAAGCGUUGUUCGGAAUUAUUGGGCGUAAAGGGCUCGUAGGCGGUCUGUCGCGUCGGGAGUGAAAACUCAGGGCUUAACCCUGAGCCUGCUUCCGAUACGGGCAGACUAGAGGUAUGCAGGGGAGAACGGAAUUCCUGGUGUAGCGGUGGAAUGCGCAGAUAUCAGGAGGAACACCGGUGGCGAAGGCGGUUCUCUGGGCAUUACCUGACGCUGAGGAGCGAAAGUGUGGGGAGCGAACAGG
rnacentral:rRNA from 1 species